rnacentral:rRNA from 1 species
AUGCAGGCAGGAUUUAUUCCGAAGAGAAGAAAAAUUACCAUGUAGAGAUAUAUUCGUUAAUGUAAGAAGAACACCGGUGAUGAAGGCGAUCAUUGGAGGGACUAUGACGAGACGCGCGAAAGCGUGGGGAACACACAGGAUUAGAUACCGGAGUAGUACACGCUAUAAGCUGAGUAUUAGAGACGGUGGGGCGCACACAGUUCGGUGUCACCUAUAACGCAUUACGCAUUGCCCGUGGAGAACGGCCGCGCAGGGUUAAACUCUCAAGGAAUUGGACGGGGGCCGCCCCAACCGUGGGACCAGGGGAUUUAUUUGAAGCCACGCGCCGAACCUUUCCCACCCCUGGCCAGUUCCAUUCCGGUUCGAGAGAUUGGGCCUUCAAUUUGGCUGGGUGGAACCCCGGUUGUGCAUGGCUGUUGUCAGCUUGUGUUCUGAGAAGUUGGGUUAAGUCCCGCAACGAGCGCAACCCCUACCGCCAGGUGCCAUCAUUCAGUUGGGCACUUUGGUGGAACUGCCGGUGACAAGCCGGAGGAAGGCGGGGAUGACGUCAAGUCCUCAUGGCCCUUAUGGGUUGGGCUACACACGUGCUACAAUGGCGGUGACAGUGGGAUGCGAAGUCGCAAGAUGGAGCCAAUCCCCAAAAGCCGUCUCAGUUCGGAUUGCACUCUGCAACUCGGGUGCAUGAAGUUGGAAUCGCUAGUAAUCGCGGAUCAGCACGCCGCGGUGAAUACGUUCCCGGGCCUUGUACACACCGCCCGUCACACCAUGGGAGUUGGCUUUACCCGAAGGUGGUGCGCUAACCGGCAACGGAGGCAGCCAACC